UGGGGAAUUUUGGACAAUGGGCGAAAGCCUGAUCCAGCAAUGCCGCGUGUGUGAAGAAGGCCUUCGGGUUGUAAAGCACUUUUGUCCGGAAAGAAAUGGCUCUGGUUAAUACCUGGGGUCGAUGACGGUACCGGAAGAAUAAGGACCGGCUAACUACGUGCCAGCAGCCGCGGUAAUACGUAGGGUCCAAGCGUUAAUCGGAAUUACUGGGCGUAAAGCGUGCGCAGGCGGUUGUGCAAGACCGAUGUGAAAUCCCCGAGCUUAACUUGGGAAUUGCAUUGGUGACUGCACGGCUAGAGUGUGUCAGAGGGGGGUAGAAUUCCACGUGUAGCAGUGAAAUGCGUAGAGAUGUGGAGGAAUACCGAUGGCGAAGGCAGCCCCCUGGGAUAACACUGACGCUCAUGCACGAAAGCGUGGGGAGCAAACAGGAUUAGAUACCCUGGUAGUCCACGCCCUAAACGAUGUCAACUAGUUGUUGGGGAUUCAUUUCCUUAGUAACGUAGCUAACGCGUGAAGUUGACCGCCUGGGGAGUACGGUCGCAAGAUUAAAAGCUCAAAA
rnacentral:rRNA from 1 species